rnacentral:lncRNA from 1 species
CUUCACCAACUUCUAGUACACCAUCCGCUGCUAAAAAACCACCUAUUGUCGUAGCAACUUCUCCCUUGUCUAGCAAACAACCAACCACCACUCAACCGCCUACAACUGCAAAAUCAUCCCCUGUAAAAUCACCAGUUCCUAAAGUUACGUCUCCAGCAUCUUCCCCUGUGAAGUCACCAGUCCCCAAAGUCGCGACCCCAACAUCUGCUCCCGUGAAGUCACCAGUUCCAAAAGCUACGACUCCAACAUCUGCUCCUGUGAAACCGCCAGUUCCAAAGGUUGCAACUCCAACGGUUGCACCGGCUAAACCACUGGUUCCCAAAGUUACAACUCCAACAGCUGCACCUGUGAAACCAAUAGUUCCAAAAACUACAACUCCAACAUCUGCUCCUUUGAAACCACCAGUUCCGAAAGCUCCCGCACCAAAACCUUCUCCUGUGAAACCACCAGUUCCAAAAUCAAAACCUCCAACAACUGCUCCUGUCAAAUCACCAGUUCCGGAUCCUCCAAAACUCGCUCCUGUAAAGUUGCCAGUCCCAAAGGUUACACCGGCAUUAAGCCCAAAAACCCCAUCCCCUAAAAUUCAACCACCACCACAUCCACCCAAAAAAGCACCUGUUUCUCUACCACCAUUAUCUAUACCACCUGUUUCACUUCCACCAUUACCAUUACCACCAGCUUCUAAACCACCAAAGGUAUCCCCAGCACCUGCAAAGGUUCCAAAAGCACCAGCACCGGCCAAAGAAGCACCAGCACCAGCACCUACACACAAAAAGAAAGCACCAGCACCCGCACCAGACAAAGAAACACCGGCACCAGCACCUACACACAAAAAGAAGAAAGCACCAAAAUCAUCACCUGUUCCUUCCCCAGCAAUUCUCCCACCAUCACCUGCACCAACACCUGCAAUAGACACACCAUCAUCAGCACCAGCACCAUCGCCUGAAGAUGAUGCGCCAGAACCACCGCCACCCCACAAGCACAAGAGAAGAAAACACAAGCAUAGUAAGCAUAAGAAACAUCACGCACUAGCUCUAGCACCAGAGCCUACAAGUUCAAGUUCAACAAUCAUUAGGAGGAGUCCCCCAGCACCACUGGCUGAUGAUAAUACUACAAUGAGUUC